UGCUGUCUCUCUCCAGCUGCUCCUCAUAGCGGGAUCAGCGCCUUUGUCUAGCAGAACCUUGAGAACCUGUGGAUUGAAUCACAACACAGAUCCGUCCAACUGAGUUGACUGGAAACGAGACAGAAGUUACCUGUGAGUGCCAGUUACUCCAUGAUGUCUUGCUUCUCUCCAGUGUGCUGAUGAACAGAUUUCUCAGGGUGACAUAACAUGGAACCUCUGAACAACAGUCGAUUCUGGAAUUUAACGAAGAGACUGUGCGUAACUGACCAAAAACAAACAAAGAUGUAUCAUCCAUGGAGAAAAGAUUUUCUGCAAGUGACUGGUUUCGAUUCACUGUGGUUUUAAAGCGAUGAAUCCCAGACGUGUCUUGGCACCACAGAUGUCCAAAAACAACUCAUCGCAGAGUGGGACAUGUGUCUCUAAGGGGGAGGAAACUCAAUUGCACAUUGUUAUUAAUACUUUGAAGUGCACAGUGCUGUGUAAGUGACAAAACAUCUUAAAAGAAGAGGAUCAUAUUUAAGACAUUGUUUUUAUUUAGAUGGCUCUAUAGCAGCUUGCAUGUGCAACAUAAGGCAUCUUUACACUGCUGAGUUAAGGCUGCUCUGUGCCUGCUUAAAAUUCUGUAUGAAGAUAAUGCCACAUAAAAGCCGGAUCAAAUUAUGCUUGCUCUGACCCACCUCAGCCCCUAGUAUCACAGUAUACAGUUGAAAUUGCUGUGCAAAUGCAUUUAUGCCACCUCUGAGCAGCAUUAAACAGUCUGUGUAAAGACACCUUAUUUGCACUUCAGAAGCGCUUCUGUGCUACCUUUACAGUGUAACUUUGGCAUUAGAUUAGAAGAGCACCCAUGCAAAAUAGCAUGAACAUAUACAAGAUGAUAUUUUCAGAGGAGAUGGUAACCAUAACCCUUUGACAUCCAGUCAGCACCUCAUCUGUGAAUACACCAUGCCCAGACGGCCAAUGAUCACUGAUCUUUCCUACAGAUUGGGCUCAUCUCUAAUUCUUAUUUUUAAAUUUCUUAUAGAUUUAUGACAUUAGCUAUAGCAUGCAGUCAUAGGAACACAAAUCUCCAGAGUUCCAGACAUGACAAGCAUGCAUAGUCCAGCUUCAAAAAAUAACCAGACAUUGAUAUACAACUUUAGCUAACAGUUCUGGACUUCGAAUAUAGGCUGCUUGCCAAAUGUAAUAUAUAGCUCUGCUCUAAAACUGGCCCAUAG